rnacentral:rRNA from 1 species
AUUGAACGCUGGCGGCAGGCUUAACACAUGCAAGUCGAACGAGUGGCGGACGGGUGAGUAAUGCUUGGGUAUCUAGCUUAUGGAGGGGUAUAACUACGGGAAACUGUCUCUAAUACCGCAUACCAUAGUAUGAGCCCAUGUGGGAUGAGUUAGUUGGUGAGGUAAAGGCUCACCAAGCCAACGAUCUCUAGCUGGUCUGAGAGGAUGACCAGCCACACUGGGACGGAGACACGGCCCAGACUCCUACGGGAGGCAGCAGUGGGGAAUAUUGCGCAAUGGGGGCAACCUGACGCAGCCAUGCCGCGUGAAUGAAGAAGGCCUUCGGGUUGUAAAGUUCUUUCGGUAGCGAGGCGUUAACGACAGAAGAAGCACCGGCUAACUCCGUGCCAGCAGCCGCGGUAAUAC